rnacentral:rRNA from 1 species
UACGUAGGGUGCAAGCGUUAAUCGGAAUUACUGGGCGUAAAGCGUGCGCAGGCGGUUGUGCAAGACAGAUGUGAAAUCCCCGGGCUCAACCUGGGAACUGCAUUUGUGACUGCACGGCUAGAGUGUGUCAGGAGGGGGUAGAAUUCCACGUGUAGCAGUGAAAUGCGUAGAUAUCAGGAGGAACACCGAUGGCGAAGGCAGGUCUCUGGGCUGAAACUGACGCUCAUGCACGAAAGCGUGGGGAGCAAACAGG